UUUACUUGCCGCAGAGCUUAAACAAUUCUCGGAACUUCCCUGGCUCGCACCGAGCCGCCCCUGUUCUUGGCAGCAGUCGACUCAAAGAGCAAGCCGGAAGAGACAUGUGGUGGGACGAAGAAGACGAUCGAGAAGCCUAUGCAGCUUUGGAGGACGAAGAAGAAGAAGGACAAGACUUCUAUUCUCCUUUCGGCUUCCUCUCGCUCCUAUCCAGACCAAAGGACUACUACAAAAUUCUGGAAGUUGAUUAUGAUGCCACUGAGGAGGCCAUUCGGUCUAACUUCAUACGUCUAGCAUUGAAAUGGCAUCCUGAUAAGAAAAGGGAAACAAUGCUACUACGAGAUUCCAAGAUAUGAAUGAGGCAUACAAGGAUUCUGGCCUGCGUGCAACUCCAACGACACCUUAAAUGCCAACGUGUUCAGUUUUAAUUACUGUUCUCUUUCGUCUCACUCAAAAUUGCUCAUCUAUAUUCAGGUAAUCUUAUACUGUUUUUUACCACAUAUUUUAUUUGAACAGUUUUAAGUUAUCCUAACAAGAGAUGCAGUAUGACAGGAAAGGAUUUCAUGGUAUCCAAGACUACAAUGUCAUAGAAUUCCUUGAUCGAUACAAGGGUCUGAUUUUGACAUGCAAUGGCCUCGGCUCGGAUAUCCAGUACUAUAGUGGAUUGAGGUAUCAGGCCCCUACGAUCUGCGUAAAUAUGGUGCAUCUUUCAAUGUUUUAGGCAAGGACAAGUGAAAAAAGAUAGCACUCAAAAUUCUAUGAUCACUAGCUCUUGAAGUUUAUAAAGCCUUGAUUUGUUCUCUAGUGUUUUGGAUGAUGUGAUCAAUAACAUUUAUUUAUUUAUUCAAA